CCUCGUGAUCUGCCCGACUCGGCCUCCCAAAGUGCUGGGAUUACAGGUGAGAGCCACUGCUCCCAGCCAGAAUUGUCUGUAUUUUCAUCACAAAUUGAUUCUUCAACUUAUUUUAGUUGUGUGGCAUUCAGAUCUAUGUCUUAAACAUUAGCGCUAGGAAUGCACUGUAAACACCUAGCAAGGGUAUAGAUGGGAACCCUCUAGAUCUAGUGAGGGCAAACUCUCUGAGUCAUCUGAUCUCUGGGCUGGCUGCACUGUGGUGAUUUAAAAUGUGAAAUUUUUUGACACUCCUUUCAAAAGAUGAAGCCUAAUUCCUCUCCCCUGGAAUGUGGGCUGGACCUAGUGACAUGUUUCUAACAGCUAGAACAACACAGAAAUGAUGGUGUGUGACACUGGAGAGUAGGUGAUUCAUGGGUAUUACAGCUUCCUGCUUGCCCUCUCUGUCUCUGAGCCCUCCCUCUGCAGGAAGCCCAUGCCGUGUCCUGAGGACGAGCGAGCAGCCCAGUGGAGAGAUCUACCCGGUGAGGAACUGAAACUGCCUGCAGUCGUGUGAGGGAGCCACCAUAGAGGCAGACCCUCCAGCCUGAGUCAAGCCUUCAGAUGACUGCAGAUGACAUCUUGACCACACCUCAGGAUCGAUUCUGAGCCAGAAUCACUCAGCUAAGCCACUCUCACAUUCCUGACUGUCAGAAACUGAGUGACAUAAUGACUCUGUGGUUUUAGGCUGCAAUAUCUGGGAGCAAUUUGUUCAACAGGAGUGGCACCUACCUGAAGUAUUAAUAGUUGUUGAGAGUCACCUUUCUCACCCCUUCAUUUGAUGCCGCUGUUGUGCAACUGCAAACUCCUGUGGAGACGACUUGUCCCAUUGUACACCAGGAUUCACCAUAUAAAAAUGCUAACGUCUGACACACUGGACCACUCAAAGAGAAGACACCAGAGCUGGGGCAGGCGCGGUGGCUGACGGCUGUAAUCCCAGCACUUUGGGAGGCCGAGGCGGGCAGAUGAUGAGGUCAGGAGAUCGAGACCAUCCUGGCCAACAUGAUGCCUUACUCCCCAACACAGGUGUGCGCUCAGUGAGGGCAAGAAUUAUGAUAUAACUAUCCUUAAGUCUCCCAGGAUGGUCACCAGAUGGGAAUAAAUGAAGAAAUGCAAGAAUUUCAAGAGCUACUGGAUGAAAUUGAAGUGCUUCUUGUUUUAGAUUUUUCACCUGCCUUAAUAUUAAUUGCUUCUGGAGGGUGGAGAUGUGUGUAGGACAAGAAUUUCAGGUAGGGGGAAGACAUGAGUAUACAUACACAUACCGCGGCCCCAACAUGUAUGAAAUCUAUAUCAUAUGCAACAUUUACGUAUAAGUAGUAUGUAUAUCCAGGACAUUCAGAAUAAGCUUGUUUACUCUGGGGAGAAAGACUGUGGGGUUGGGAGACAGGGAAAGCCACCUACUUUUCACUGCCUACACUCUUAAUAGUUUUUUUUAUUUUUAUAUUAAGUGCUUGU